rnacentral:rRNA from 1 species
AACGAACGCUGGCGGCAGGCCUAACACAUGCAAGUCGAACGCAUCGCAAGAUGAGUGGCGCACGGGUGAGUAACACGUGGGAAUGUAUCCUUUGGUUCGGAAUAACGUCUGGAAACGGACGCUAAUACCGGAUGAGCCCUUAGGGGGAAAGAUUUAUCGCCGAAGGAGCAGCCCGCGUCUGAUUAGGUAGUUGGUGGGGUAAAGGCCUACCAAGCCGACGAUCAGUAGCUGGUCUGAGAGGAUGAUCAGCCACACUGGGACUGAGACACGGCCCAGACUCCUACGGGAGGCAGCAGUGGGAAUAUUGGACAAUGGGCGCAAGCCUGAUCCAGCCAUGCCGCGUGAGUGAUGAAGGCCUUCGGGUUGUAAAGCUCUUUCGCACACGACGAUGAUGACGGUAGUGUGAGAAGAAGCCCCGGCUAACUUCGUGCCAGCCGCCGCGGUAAGAC